rnacentral:rRNA from 1 species
CUUGAUUUACUAUAAGAGGUCCAGCCUGCCCAGUGACCAUGUUCAACGGCCGCGGUAUCCUAACCGUGCGAAGGUAGCGUAAUCACUUGUUCUUUAAAUGUGGACUAGUAUGAACGGCACCACGAAGGUUAUACUGUCUCCCCUUUCUAAUCAGUGAAACUAAUCUCCCCGUGAAGAAGCGGGGAUAAUUCUAUAAGACGAGAAGACCCUAUGGAGCUUUAAACAACACAGCACUUACUAAAUAUCCUUUAAUGUUCCUGUAACAUUAACUCUUUAAAGUAAGAUGACUGCAAGUUUUCGGUUGGGGUGACCACGGAGUAAAUCAUAACCUCCAUGUUGAAAGAACUUUUCUAAGCCAAGAAUAACCAAUCUAAGCAUUAACAAAUUAACAUCUAUUGACCCAAUAAAUUUGAUCAACGAAC